CUCUUUAUUUCAUUCAAACUGAUUGUCACUGGCGGAUUUUUGAUUAAAUAUUCUUUGACGGAAAAGUCAUUUCAGUCAUUCUUGUGUGAUUCCUACGAAUUUCGAGAUAACAAAUUCUGCCUUUCUCCCAGACAAGAACACUAUGAACCCAUGCGAACUUCCCCCUUGUCCUCCCUGUCCGCCCCCCUCACCCCCGCCGUGCCAGCAAGUAUGCCAUCCGCCUCCACCACCACCACCAUGCCGUGUCAAACCUAUUAUGCGAGGGAUGCUGCACGCACAAAUCAAAAGAACUAUUGCCAGCGCUCUGAUUCUGGCGGCGAUGGGUGGAGCGGCAUUCUACUUUGGUGUCCGUUUACCAAAACAGAAAGCGUACAGGGAAUAUUAUGCGAAAGGAGAGUUUGAAGAUUGGGCUGACGAAAUGGCAAGGAAGGGGCUUUUCCAAUCUGUGCCGGCUGCGUCUUUACAAGAUAACCAGCAUGCGAAAAAAUAACUUAUUUUCACUUUAUUUUGAAUAAAUAUGUAUUUGUUUUAUUAAA